ACUAACAAUCUACGAUUGAAAUCUACGUCAAUCGUAUCACCAAUGGAACGAUUUGCAAUGACAUUGCGGUAAGUAAAGACAUUUCGAUAUUAAUAAUCAUCUUUAUUCAUGUAAAAAAACAGUCAUUAUUUAACAAAAGUUUAGAACACUCAUAUUUUUUUGCCAAUUUAUGUAAGUCACAUUACUGUUUAGCCACAUCAAGCAAGAAAGAAGAAGAAGUUCUUAUUGUUUCGGCAGUGACACCUGAAUAUGGCUUAAAAUGUUUUUCUUGAUGUGGUUCACUCUGUUCUUAGGACCGAAACACAUAACCGCACACUUAUUAAUCAUCAUAUUAAUCACAGUUUCUUACAUUUAUUAAUUAUAUUUUGUUAUUUCUAAAUUACACAGUUUUAUCGUUUUCGUUUUUUUUUUAUCUAUACCUACUUAUUCACUAAUUUUUUUAUAUACUUAAUCACAUCAGUCAUCACAGUGUCUUGCAUAAACGCUACGUUACAAUUAGUUUUUGAUUAAUCAUUUGAAAUACACUAAUAAAAUCACAGGUUCAAGUUUAAAAUAAAAAAACACAAUAACAGUUAAAACAGUACAAUAAGUCAAAAUGUCUUAAUUAUAUUAAUAUACCUACCUUACAAAGUAUUAAUUAUAAUGACGCAUAUUGAUUGCAAGUUUUUACAUAUGAAUAUUUCCCUUAUUAAUUAUUCCCUUCUAUUACUAGAUCGGGUACUAAUAUUAUUUUAAAUUCUUAUUUAUCAUCACAAUCAUAAUCACAGUUUAUUACAUAAAAGAUUAAAUUUAAGAAGAGGACAUAUGAAGGAGCAAUGUUAUGAGUAGGUUCAAGAAAAAGGUCCAUUAAGUAAAAAAGGGGUCUAUUGAUACACUUUUUUAUUUGACCCCAAAAUAGGGUUUAAGAUAAAAGUGUCCGAAUCGACCCCGUUUCUUUCCUUAUGAACAUUACACCUCAAGGCUUGUCGAAUGCCCUUGCAUAUCAUAAUAAUUGCACAUGAGACCAGAAAAAUAUAAAUAUAAAAUUGCGCUUUUUACUAACUUAAAUAGUUCUUCAUGUUCUUCUCUUUCUUUUGUUCUUAAUAAUUAAACAGUCUUAAUCAAAUCUUCAGUCUUUCUUGUUACCUAUUUAUUCAUUGUUCGUAUCUGAUCUUACAUUUAAGGAUUCUAAAUCAUUCUUUACCGUAUUUUGCGUUAAUGAAAGGUCAUCAAUGGUAAUAAUCAUUUCUUUUUCUAUAUCAAUCAAAGCUUCUAAUACUUUCGUACGAAAUAAUAUUUUUUUAAAGCAACUCAAUUUUUUUACAGUUGGUAAUAAUGACUUAAAAAAAUUCAAGUCUUCGUCCAUAGUAUCUGCAGUGUUAUUCUUCACGCAAUUUAACAACUCUAAUUCGAAAUCAGUUGGCGAUUCGCACUUACGUUUCUUGGAAGAUCGUGUUUCUUUGGUAAAGCUGGAGCUGGUGCUAGAUAUUUAGUUAGUGGACAUACCUUCGUCGAUAUUCAUCUGGCGUAUCAUACAGGACUAACCACGGUCAGAAAAAUAGUAACAGAAGUUUGUCAAAUUAUAAUUGAAAGGUUAAAGGAAGAAUGUAUACCAAAAUUUUCCCGUGCGCUAUGGGAAGAGACUGAAAAAGGUUUUUUAACGCAAGCCCAGUUUCCUAACUGCAUAGGUGCAAUAGACGGAAAACAUAUACGCAUUAUAAGACCUCCACAUAGUGGUUCCCUCUAUUACAACUAUAAGCAUUACUAUUCUAUUGUACUGCUUGCAAUGUGUAACGCCAACUAUGAGUUUACCUAUAUAAACGUGGGAGUGCAGGGUAAAGAAUCUGACUCCGCAAUUUUCACACAAAGCCGAUUGUACGAACAAAUCAACAAUGACUUAAUAUAUAUUCCUCCUGCCAAAGCAUUGCCCCUAAUACACAAUGAUAAACCAACCAACAUUGCUGCAACCGCAGCUUUGCCCUAUAUUAUUGUAGGAGAUGAAGCAUUUGGGUUAUCUAGCCAUGUCAUGCGGCCAUAUGCUCGAGCUCUCGAUUUAAACUACAAAAAAAAAUAUUCAAUUAUAGGUUAACGAGAGCGCGACGCUAUAUUGAGUGUACAUUUGGUAUCAUGGCUAAUAAAUUUCGCAUACUCCAUCGUCCAUUGAACGUUGGAAAAGACAAAGCAAUUUGUUUUCUUAAAACAAUUUGUAUUUUGCAUAAUUUUAUAAGAUCAAGAAGUCAAAUUAAUGACUUUCAUGAUAUUGUCAUUAUACCAGACCAUAUACGUUCAGUUCGGGGGUUAAUUGGAAAUACCCACAGAGAUUCGUAUACAUUACGCGAUAACUUCGCAGAUUAUUUCGUUGCAGACGGACAGCUGUCAUGGCAAGAUCGCAGUAUUUAUUGAAGAUAGUUGGCUUUUUUAUAAUUUAUGUACAUUCAAUAAUUGAAUUUUCACGGUUUUUUACCACACAUUUUUUAUUAACAUAGCAGGCAUAUUUUAAUAAUAUACCUAAUGAUUUUAUUUGUUAAAUUCAUCGGAUGUAACCAAAUAACUUAGAUUGUUGUAAACUAAAGUUGAGAGAUGUCAAAGAAAAACCUACAAAACUACAAAACGCACGCUUAUUUUACAAAGUUACUGGCCCAAUUCUAAAACCAAUAUAAUAAAUAUUUUAGUUGA